GACGAACGCUGGCGGCGUGCCUAACACAUGCAAGUCGAACGGGGUAAUUCCUUCGGGGAUUACUUAGUGGCGAGCGGGUGAGUAACGCGUGAGAAACCUGCCUUUCAGUGGGGGACAACAGUUGGAAACGACUGCUAAUACCGCAUGACACUUUAGCACCGCAUGGUACAGAAGUCAAAGCUUUAUGUGCUGAAAGAUGGUCUCGCGUCUGAUUAGCUAGAUGGCGGGUAACGGCCCACCAUGGCGACGAUCGGUAGCCGGUCUGAGAGGACGAACGGCCACAUUGGGACUGAGAUACGGCCCAG
rnacentral:rRNA from 1 species